rnacentral:lncRNA from 10 species
GAAGGAUUCUGAGGUCCCAGGAUUUUGCUGUUCUUCAGCUGAUAUUUCUGUAUGCAUUGUUUUGGUUUGAUAGGUGGAAGUUUACUCUUUCUAAUAUUGCCAUUUUUCAGGAUCCUAUUGUGCUCCAUUUUUAGCUGUCAUACAUGUAAUUUUAUAAUUAUUCUAAUAGUUUCCUCAGUUAAUUUUACUUAGACUCAUUUAUUGAACUAACGACACAUUGGAGGGAAAGGUAACAUACUGCAUGUUGGGGGGCGGAUUCUUAAAUGUCUGCUUUUGUGAUUACACAUUUCCCCGACUCCUCAUUCUCCAGUGGCAGCCGAUUAGGAGGCCUGGUUACAGUGUUGUGCUUCUUUUUCAAUCAUGGAGAGUGUACCCGUGUAAUGUGGACACCACCUCUCCGUGAAAGCUUCUCAUAUCCAUUUCUUGUUCUUCAGAUGUUGCUAGUGACUCAUAUUCUCAGGGCUACAAAACUUUAUAGAGGAAGCUUGAUUGCACUCUGCAUUUCCAAUGUAUUUUUCAUGCUUCCUUGGCAGUUUGCUCAGUUUGUACUUCUUACUCAGAUUGCAUCAUUAUUUGCAGUAUAUGUUGUCGGGUACAUUGAUAUAUGUAAAUUACGGAAGAUCAUUUAUAUACACAUGAUUUCUCUUGCACUUUGUUUUGUUUUGAUGUUUGGGAACUCAAUGUUAUUAACUUCUUAUUAUGCUUCUUCUUUGGUAAUUAUUUGGGCGCAGUGGCUCACGCCUCUAAUCCCAGCACUUUGGGAGGCUGAGGCAGGUGGAUCACGAGGUCAGGAGAUCGAG